UAAGGAAUAUUGGUCAAUGGACGCAAGUCUGAACCAGCCAUGCCGCGUGAAGGAUAAAGGUCCUCUGGAUUGUAAACUUCUUUUAUCUGGGACGAAAACGGGAUUUUUAUCUCAAUUGACGGUACCAGAGGAGUAAGCACCGGCUAACUCCGUGCCAGCAGCCGCGGUAAUACGGAGGGUGUGAGCGUUAUCCGGAUUUACUGGGUUUAAAGGGUGCGUAGGUGGGCUUAUAAGUCAGUGGUGAAAUCUCCGAGCUUAACUUGGAAACUGCCGUUGAUACUAUAGGUCUUGAAUUAUCUGGAGGUAAGCGGAAUAUGUCAUGUAGCGGUGAAAUGCUUAGAUAUGACAUAGAACACCAAUUGCGAAGGCAGCUUACUACAUAUAAAUUGACGCUGAGGCACGAAAGCGUGGGGAUCAAACA
rnacentral:rRNA from 1 species